GACGGAGGGUGCAAGCGUUGUCCGGAUUUAUUGGGUUUAAAGGGUGCGUAGGUGGCUGAUUAAGUCAUGGGUGAAAGCCUGCAGCUCAACUGUGGAAUUGCCUGUGAUACUGAUUAGCUUGAGUGCGGUUGAGGCAGCUGGAAUUGGUGGUGUAGCGGUGAAAUGCAUAGAUACCACCAGGAACACCGAUUGCGAAGGCAGGUUGCUAAGCCGUAACUGACACUGAGGCACGAAAGCGUGGGGAGCAAACAGG
rnacentral:rRNA from 1 species